rnacentral:rRNA from 1 species
GAUGAACGCUAGCUACAGGCUUAACACAUGCAAGUCGAGGGGCAGCAUGAACUUAGCUUGCUAAGUUUGAUGGCGACCGGCGCACGGGUGAGUAACACGUAUCCAACCUGCCGAUGACUCGGGGAUAGCCUUUCGAAAGAAAGAUUAAUACCCGAUGGCAUAGUUCUUCCGCAUGGUAGAACUAUUAAAGAACUUCGGUCAUCGAUGGGGAUGCGUUCCAUUAGGUUGUUGGCGGGGUAACGGCCCACCAAGCCUUCGAUGGAUAGGGGUUCUGAGAGGAAGGCCCCCCACAUUGGAACUGAGACACGGUCCAAACUCCUACGGGAGGCUG